UAACACUUCGUCUCUUCUCUUCCCUCUUCCGCGGCUUCCGCCUCCACUGCCUCCACUGGACCACUGCUCCUGCCGGCUCCCUCUAUGACUCUGCCGCCGCCGCCCGCCGCCGCCCGCCGCCGCCACUGCUCACUCUCUUACAGGUUUUGUGUUAUACUGAUAUUCAUUGUUAAUUUGUUAUUGUUGUUUUUUCUCCUUUUUAUUUAUUUUUUUAUUCAGUGGUCGAGUAUUCGAGUGUGGUAAGUGGUAACAUACUAAAUUACUAACAUAGGCUAUUUAUUUUUCCUGGCUUCUGUUUCUAUAUAUAAUAGCUUCCAAUUUGGGAUUAUAUCCGAAAAGAAAAUUAGACUCUCAAUUUGGGAAUUUAGUAAUUUGGGAUUCUAUAUUAAUAUUUUAGUAAUUUAGUUUUUAAAAUUAUUACUGUUGGAGUAAUCUUUAAUUAUUGUUUAAUUUUUGUUUUCUUAAAUCCUAAGAGAAUUGAUGAAUAAUGAAAUUAUUAUGAAAUGUUUAAAUUGAUGAAAUUAUUGAUAAGCAAUUGAUGAAAUUAUUUAUACUAGAUUAUGGUAUAAAUAAAAACAUCAAUGGUUUGUUCAUGAUUAAUGAACUCUGAAAAUUUUUGAAAAUAAUUUGUGCCUAUCUUAUGUUUGCUAAAAUAUUUCAAUGGAAAGGGUUGAUUAAAAUAAAAGAAUUGGUAUAUUAUUUUAAAGGAAAUAUGAUAUAUAUAUAUAUAAUUGAAUUAUAAUUAAUGGUGAAGAAAUUGAGAGUGAUUCCGAAGCAAAUAGUGAUCUUGACUCCUUAUGCAUUGGGUCACAAUUCUUUGGUCGGUAUGCAUUGGGCCACGAAUAUACUUUCCAUUUUUUUUAAUCUGGGUCAAAAUCAAACCCAAGGACCUUCCCCUCGCCGCUGUAACAUACACGUCGCUGCUCCGGACCUCCGGUAACCGCCCUCAAAUUUUGACCCCCCUUUAAAUUUUGUUCUGAUUCCGCCAUUGAGAAUGCAUCAUUCUGACAAUAAACAAACCAAACAGCCUUUUAUUCAUUCCAAUGAAAUUAUUUAUUCAAUUCUCCAUUCUAUUCUAUCGAUCCAAAUAUGUAGCAUAAAAAGUGAACCUUUCGCGUAUUGGCACUAGUCAAAAUUUACAUAUUACCUUAACAGAUGUGGCUUUAAUUUCAGUUGGUAAUUAAAACUAAUCUUUUAACAUCAACAUAAGGGUAUUAACUAGUAUUUACUCGCAGCCUGGCACUUUUGGACUUGGAUUUUGUAGUAUUUAGUGGUGUUAAGAGUCCAUCAUAGAGAUUCUGAUUUUGUUUGAAAAGUUGAAUUCAAUAGAUUCUGGUAAGAAAAUUUCCAUAUUAUAUUCCGUCUUCUUUACUCCAAAGACUUUUCAUUGACCUCCUGCUGAGGAUAAAUAUUGUAUUUUGGUGACAUGCGUAUUCAGUACUCCAUUUUAAAAUGUAAAAUUAUUAUUAACUUUUUAAAAUCAAUUUAUAAUAUUUAAAAUUAAAUUUAACAUAGAUUUAUUUAAAUGUAGUCCAGUGCAUAGUAUAAUCCAUGUUAUAACUUUAAUUAUGCAAACACACUCACCAUGGAGGGGAUCCGGAUCCUCUGUGAGGGUUUUGCUGUGUGGUUGACAACACAUUAAAAAGGAGAUCCAAUGGCUUAUAACUCUUUUUUUGUCUGUGUAUCAAAACGACGUCGUUUUGAUAGAAAUUUUUUUUUACAAGUUGAUAGGAAAUUGGAAGCCACCAAACGCCAAUUAAUUUUACCAAACAAACAAAGUAAAGUAAAAAAAAGUACAUUUAAAAUAUUAUUUGAGUUGUAAUGGUGAUUGUCUCCGCUGAGCAGUGGAUUAAGAGAGGUAAAGUAAAACGAUUAUUAAUAAUAAAAAAAGAUAUAAAGGAAUAUGUAAAUAAUAAUAAUAGAUAGGUCUAAAAUAUUUUCUUGGUUGACCCAGAUGGCCCAAUGAUUAGAGUAAAUAAUAAUAAUAUUUUUAAUGGUGAGAGUAAAUUCUUUUUAUGGAACAAAUAAAUACAAAUUAUAAUAAUAAUAAAUAAUAAUAUAAAUAAACAAACAAAAACGACAAUAAUAAACGAAAAAUAACUAAAGCCACGUUGAAAACAUUAACGAUAAUUAUAACCGAUAUAUUUAUUCAUUUUUUUGAGCCAAGUUUGUAGUUAUCCUAAUAUUAAUAGCAAGCCAAGUUAUUAAAUAUAAACAAAAUCAUAUACAUAAUAAUCAAGAAAUUUAAAAUAAUUAUAUUUAAAAAUAAACGGCGUUUGGUGGCUUCUAAUUUUUUGUCAACUUGUAAAAAAAUUUCUAUCAAAACGACGUCGUUUUGAUACAAAAAAAAAAAGAGUUGUAAGCCAUUGGAUCUCUUUUUUAAUGUGUUGUCAACCCCACAACAAAAUUCUCACAAGAUCCUCACGGAGAAAUCCUCAUAGAGGAUCCUGAUCCCCAUGGAGGAGACGCUUUAUUUGAUUUAUUUAAUUAAGUACUAGUUUAAUGAGUUUAUUAAUAACAAAAUUAGUGAAAUUAUGUAUGUGCACACUUAGAAGGGGAAUGAAUAAGUGUGUGCGUGUGUCAACGAAUUAUGUCAAAUUUAUUUAUUUUUUGAGUUUCAAAAGUAAUCCAGAUAGGUAAAAAAUUUAGCUACUUUUUUUAAAACCUAUCUUCUUUCAUAUGCCUGCUUUCAGUUAUUUAUGAAUCAUGCAUGCAAUGAUAUUUUGGGAUUUUCUAAUGUAGAAAAUAAACUAAAAACUAAAACAACAACCAAUCGCACAUGCACACCAAGAUUUAUACCUGGUUCUGCUCCUUAGUCCUUUACUUUACGGGCCUACAUUCAAGGGCCUCAAGGCCAAAUAUCAACUGAUACUAGUGGUGAAGCCAGAAAAUUUAUUCAGUGGAGUUAAAAUAUUGUGAUGCUAUAAAUAAUUUGGCAGAGGUUCAGGGCAGUGCCUCCAAGCCAAUUUUUUAAUAUAAUUUUGUGUUUUUUGGCUGAUUGCAUAUAUAAAACAUGUAUUUUAUUACAAUAUUGUUAAUAUAACAAGUAAUAUAUAUAUAUAUAUAUAUAUAUAUAUAUAUAUAUAUAUAUAUAUAUACAUACACACACACCUUAUUGAUCCCUAAUACAUCUUUCAAAUCAUAAAUUUAUUAAUAAAAAUUUCUUAUGUUAUAAAAAUAAUAUAAAUUAAAUUAUUAUUUAUUUUAAAAAUACUAGGGGAAGAUGCAUACAUCAUGUAGUAAAAGUAAUAUAGAACUGAGAAAGUUAUAAAAAAAAUUAAAUUUGACCUCGUAUAUUAAAAAAACUAUAAAUUUUUGGUAGGGUCAAUUUAUUCGUUAUACUUGAUUUUUUUCUAAAUUUAUCAUAUAUUAUAAAAUAAUUUUUUCCCAGUGGGGUCAAUUAACCCCCCAACCUCCCAUGUGGCUUCGCCACUAGUUAUAACUAUGGCGACUGUUUGUACCGUUACUAUAAUUCAGAAAAUCGAUAAUUUAGCGACGGAUAAACCGACACUAUAACUAAACUGGAUAAAAUAAUUAAUUCUUAAUAUAAUAGUAAUUAAUCUGCAAUAGCUCAAAUUUUGUUGUUUAUGGUUAAUUAUACAUUUAAAUUAAUUUUAAAAAGUUAUAUGGUUCACCUAUGUAUUCGAGUAUAUAUUCUUUUGCAGGAGAUGAUUAGCUUAGUUCUUGUUACAACAUGCAUGUGUCCAUUCGAUGAUCUAACGAUUUAAUAAAGGUCUGGUCCGUAGUUUAGUUUUUAAUAUUCCGCAGUUUAAUACUGUGGACAGGACAAAUAUCUAAAAUUUCUCUUUUGUAUAAGUCUCUCGUCUUCAGUAUUAAACUACGGAAGCUAAGUAUGGUAGGCUAAUUGGUCAAUGACGUCGUAUUGGUUAAAUUCAAAUUUUAUUUAGUUUUCUAGGCGCAAAUGACUCCGGAAUCGGGACGAUGACAGAUUAAUUUGGGAAGGAUUCGGCUAUCAGAACUCCCAAGGAAUUGCAGACGAGAGCUCUAUUAAACGGUUCGAUCUUAACGUGAAGGGUCACGAUGUGUUGAAAGGUUACAUUUUUUUACAGCGUUUGCUAUGGAUUGGUCUUUAUAUAUAUAUAUAUAUAUAUAUAUAUAUAUAUAUAGAGAGAGAGAGAGAGAGAGAGAGAGAGAGUUCGAUUUUUAUUCGGACUCCCGGAUUUUCUUAAAAUACGGACCUUUAUUUUAUUUUUUUGCUUUUUUUUUAAUAUUUUAUGGAACUGGAAUUUUUAUAUAAUACAGUAUUUUGGGUGUAAUUUGAAUACGUAUAACAAAAUAGGUCUGUACAGACUGUACAUACAUAUUUUGUUAUGUGUAUCCAAAUAACGCCCAAAAUAUUGUAUUAUGGAAAAAUUUCAAUUCCAUAAAAUAUNNNNNNNNNNNNNNNNNNNNNNNNNNNNNNNNNNNNNNNNNNNNNNNNNNNNNNNNNNNNNNNNNNNNNNNNNNNNNNNNNNNNNNNNNNNNNNNNNNNNNNNNNNNNNNNNNUAUAUAUAUAUAUAUAUAUAUAUAUAUGGAGUUUCAUUUACAGCAACAGGUUGUUAUGAAGCAAUCCCUUUUUUGGCUUGUUAAAAUUUCGGCUGGAGCAAAAAAAAAAAUUCAACAGACAAAAAAAGGGAUUACUCCACAGCAACCGUUGUUGUGGAUGGAACCCAUAUAUAUAUAUAUAUAUAUAUAUAUAUAGAGAGAGAGAGAGAGAGAGAGGGAAUAAUUCAUAUCAUAUAUUUGUUAUGGAUCAAAAAUAGACAAAUGUCAUCUUUACCUUCCAUUAUAUUUAUGAACGAUUAAGAUUUAAAAAUCAAACUCGUCAUCCGCUAGAAUAACUAGCGGACUGGUUCAUUCCCCAAUUAUCCCGAUUAUACCCCCAUCACUUAUCAAUUGUUUCCUUUUUUUCGCUCUAAUUCUCUUCCUUUCCCUUUUCUCUGCGCUUAUUUGAAAGAAACUCUCCUAGUAGCCCUUAUCGGCACUUAUUCAUUGAGUAUGGAGUGUCAAACCCAAAUUCUCCCUAAAUAGUUAAAUCGGAGACUCUGCCUCUAAUUCUCUUUUCUGAUUCGAUUGAAUCUGAUGCAAAUAGCAUUAUGAAUGCGAACAUGGGUAUGUGCCUUCACUCGGAUAUGUAGAAAAUUUUUAAGGUUGCCCAGCAUUUCUCUUGUCAGGACCAACUUGAUGUUGUUGAUAAACGAAAAAAGAACCAAUCUUAGGUGGAAUUCAUCUCUGCUCAUGGAUUUUCUAUGCAGGAGGUAAAUGAAUUCUCAGCUAAGGGUGUUAUUUCAUGGAAAGUGGAUGCCCACAACCUAUUUGUGAAAAGUCCCUAGUUAGGUGGUUGCUCUGAUUCUAAGGUUUUUGCUCCUGUUGUUCAUAUAUUUUUGAUGAUAAGAGAUGCAUGGAUUGUGUAUAUGGUGGAAUAUGAUAUAAUCAAGACGGAUGUAUUUUAGUACUUUGAAUCAAUAGUACAUGAAUAAGGAGGGAGAAGUUGAUGAGGAUGUAAGCCACAUGAUUGUAGCAGGAUAGAUGAAUUGGUUUGGUGCAUUAAGAGUGUUUUUAUUCUAGAGUCAUCCUACUUUUUUGUGAUUUUUCUCUCGCUCUAUGUGCAUGUGUUGGUAAUUUUUCAGCUAUAUUUUUGUUGCCGAUUCUUAUGUAUUAUAUUUUAAAAUGGUGUAACUGGAGCUGUCAUUUCCUUACAUUUGUUUUGUCUUUCUAGAUAAUGAUUAAACUAAAUAUUUUAUUUACCAG
rnacentral:lncRNA from 1 species